rnacentral:snRNA from 1 species
UGUGGGGGGCACAGCAUAAUUGUUAUGCAAAAAUAAAGAGCAAGAUACUGUGACAGGUGAUAGUUUCAGUAGCACAUAUACCAAGGUUAGCAUGGCCCCUGUGCAAGGAUGACACAUAAAUUCAUGAAAUAUUGGAUACUUAU